UCCCGUGUGGCUCAGUUGGUAGAGCAUGGUGUUUGCAACGCCAGGGUUGUGGGUUCGAUUCCCGCGAGGGAC
rnacentral:tRNA from 1 species